AUCUCCUGGAAAAUCUGCAAUUCAAACUUCCAGUCAAACAAUUCAACACUAGAUAGUCAGCAAAAGAUUUAGGCCCAAUGAGCAAUCAGAAUUAAUGUUCUAUUCCAAUUUCAGGGCAUCUUUGCUAUUACUGACACCUGCAGGCAGCUCAAUGUCCAUUGAGCUUCCACUACUAUUACAGAUCAAAUUAAUACCAACUGUAGAGAUACUAGCAAACAGAACACCAAUAAAGGAUACAUUCAUCUUUUAUUAAAUAGCAGGUAUGGAAAUUCAAAUGUAAAACCAGGAAGGCACACUAAAUUCGAGGUUUCUUACAACAAAGGUAAAAGAAGGGAGAAAUCACUGUUUACAUGGAAACUAGUUGAUGGAACCACCACUCUCGCCUUAAAUCAGACCAUAUGGUGAUUAUAUCCUUCCUUUUUCUUCUGAUUCCCUCUCAGAAGCAAGCAUCCAGAAGGCAGCAGCAGCAAA